GACGAACGCUGGCGGCGUGCUUAACACAUGCAAGUCGAACGAUGAAGCUAGAGCUUGCUCUGGUGAAUUAGUGGCGAACGGGUGAGUAACACGUGAGUAACCUGCCCCGAACUCUGGGAUAACUGCUGGCAACGGUAGCUAAUACUGGAUACGAGCUACGAAGGCAUCUCCUGUAGGUGGAAAGAAUGUGGGUUAGGGAUGGAUUCGCGGCCUCUCAGCUCGUUGGUGAUGUAAUGGCUCACCAAGGCGACGACGGGUAGCCGGCCUGGGAGGGUGACCGGCUACACUGGGACUGAGACACGGCCCAGACUCCUACGGGAGGCAGCAGUGGGGAAUAUUGCACAAUGGGCGCAAGCCUGAUGCAGCAACGCCGCGUGAGGGAUGACGUCCUUCGGGUUGUAAACCUCUUUUAGUAGGGAAGAAGCGAAAGUGACGGUACCUGCAGAAAAAGCACCGGCUAACUACGUGCCAGCCGCCGCCGUAA
rnacentral:rRNA from 1 species